rnacentral:rRNA from 1 species
UCGGACGCUGACGAGUGGCGAACGGGUGAGUAAUACAUCGGAACGUGCCCAGUCGUGGGGGAUAACUACUCGAAAGAGUAGCUAAUACCGCAUACGAUCUGAGGAUGAAAGCGGGGGACCUUCGGGCCUCGCGCGAUUGGAGCGGCCGAUGGCAGAUUAGGUAGUUGGUGGGAUAAAAGCUUACCAAGCCGACGAUCUGUAGCUGGUCUGAGAGGACGACCAGCCACACUGGGACUGAGACACGGCCCAGACUCCUACGGGAGGCAGCAGUGGGGAAUUUUGGACAAUGGGCGAAAGCCUGAUCCAGCAAUGCCGCGUGCAGGAUGAAGGCCUUCGGGUUGUAAACUGCUUUUGUACGGAACGAAAAAGCUCCUUCUAAUACAGGGGGCCCAUGACGGUACCGUAAGAAUAAGCACCGGCUAACUACGUGCCAGCAGCCGCGGUAAUACGUAGGGUGCGAGCGUUAAUCGGAAUUACUGGGCGUAAAGCGUGCGCAGGCGGUUAUGUAAGACAGAUGUGAAAUCCCCGGGCUCAACCUGGGAACUGCAUUUGUGACUGCAUGGCUAGAGUACGGUAGAGGGGGAUGGAAUUCCGCGUGUAGCAGUGAAAUGCGUAGAUAUGCGGAGGAACACCGAUGGCGAAGGCAAUCCCCUGGACCUGUACUGACGCUCA